UACGGAGGGUACAAGCGUUAUCCGGAUUCACUGGGUUUAAAGGGUGCGUAGGAGGACAGGUAAGUCAGUGGUGAAAUCUCCGAGCUUAACUCGGAAACUGCCGUUGAUACUAUCUGCCUUGAAUACCGUGGAGGUGAGCGGAAUAUGUCAUGUAGCGGUGAAAUGCUUAGAUAUGACAUAGAACACCAAUUGCGAAGGCAGUUCACUACACGAAUAUUGACUCUGAGGCACGAAAGCGUGGGGAUCAAACAGG
rnacentral:rRNA from 1 species